rnacentral:rRNA from 1 species
GACGAACGCUGGCGGCGUGCUUAACACAUGCAAGUCGAACGGAAAGGCCCUGCUUUUGUGGGGUGCUCGAGUGGCGAACGGGUGAGUAACACGUGAGUAACCUGCCCUUGACUUUGGGAUAACUUCAGGAAACUGGGGCUAAUACCGGAUAGGAGCUCCUGCUGCAUGGUGGGGGUUGGAAAGUUUCGGCGGUUGGGGAUGGACUCGCGGCCUAUCAGCUUGUUGGUGGGGUAGUGGCUUACCAAGGCCUUGACGGGUAGCCGGCCUGAGAGGGUGACCGGCCACAUUAGGACUGGGAUACGGCCCAGACUCCUACGGGAGGCAGCGGUGGGGAAUAUUGCACAAUGGGCGGAAGCCUGAUGCAGCAACGCCGCGUGCGGGAUGACGGCCUUCGGGUUGUAAACCGCUUUCGCCUGUGACGAAGCGUGAGUGACGGUAAUGGGUGAAGAAGCACCGGCUAACUACGUG